rnacentral:rRNA from 1 species
UACGGAGGGGGCCAGCGUUGUUCGGAAUUACUGGGCGUAAAGCGCACGUAGGCGGCUUUGUAAGUUAGAGGUGAAAGCCCGGGGCUCAACUCCGGAAUUGCCUUUAAGACUGCAUCGCUCGAAUUGUGGAGAGGUAAGUGGAAUUCCGAGUGUAGAGGUGAAAUUCGUAGAUAUUCGGAAGAACACCAGUGGCGAAGGCGACUUACUGGACACAUAUUGACGCUGAGGUGCGAAAGCGUGGGGAGCAAACAGG